rnacentral:rRNA from 1 species
GAAUAUUCUGCAACGGACGAAAGUCUGACGGAACGACGCCCGUGAAGGAUGACAGCCUGCGGGUUGUAAACUUCUUGUCUCGAAGAAGAAGCUCUGACGGGAUUCGUGGAAUAAGCAUAGGAUAACUCCGUUCCAGCAGCCGCGGUAAGACGGAGGAUGCAAGUGUUAUUCGGAAUGAUUGGGCGUAAAGCGUCUGUAGGCUGUAUAGAAAGUCUUUUGUUAAAUACCUCGGCUCAACCGAGAUCCAACAAAGGAAACUUCUAUACUUGAGGUAAGUUUAGGUACAGGGAAUUCCCGGUGGAGCGGUGAAAUGCGUAUAUAUCGGGAGGAACACCAAUAGGGCGAAGGCACUGUACUGGGCUUUUACCUGACGCUCAGAGACGAAAGCUAAAGGAGUGAUUAGGAUUAGAUACCCUAGUAAUUUUAGCCGUAAACGAUUGAAAACUCACUGUCGAGCGAAUACAACGAGCGGUUGGUCAAGCUAACGCGUUGAGGUUUCCUCCUGGGGUGUAGAUUACUCUUUUGUUAAACUCUUUGAAAUUGACGGGGACCCGCACAAGCGGU